rnacentral:lncRNA from 8 species
CUGACUGCAGCUGCCUGUGCACGAGCUGAGCGUCUGCUGCUGACGUUACUCGCAAUGCACUUUUGCAGCCAGGCAUGUUAACUACCAAUAAUACACUGCUUAGAACUAUAAUUGUUCAGAAUGUGUAGAUUUACUAGAUAAAAAUAAAAUAAAUAACAUGUAAUUGUUCAAUAAUUAAAUGUGUUGUGUUUAAAAAUAUCUGAUCAUAUACAAUGUGUUGUGUUUAUAUUACUUUUAGAAGAAAAAAAUUUUGAUAAACAAACAGAUCUAAACUAACAAACGUCAAAUCAUAUUUUUCGCCGAGAUGGCUAGUCAAUUUGAGUAACGUUAUUGCGUAUUCUACGUAAUGUCGUAGAUUUACGUUAUUACGCAAUGAAAUCACAACGUAAUUUAGCAACUUUCAGCAACAAAUCGACCUGCCUCUAGCAACUUCCCCUGAAAAUUAGUUGUCAACACAGAGUCGGAUUUCCCAUAGGGAACUGUAAACAUGCUAGCUAAUAUCCUGUGGAUGCCUCCAUCUAGUUCCCUAGAACAGCAGACCGAUCUGUCAACCAGGCUCGGUGGGUGACAGGUAACCGUGUUUCCACAAAGCUGUUCCAGGCCUGGGGUGGCACGCUGGAACUUCCAGAGGCUUGUAGGCCUGAAGCAGUGUGAUGUGGUCCAGAUCUGACACCCCUACUAGCUCAACCACAGUUCUCACAGCUGCAGUCGUCUGCCCCUGCACCUGCUACACCGGCCACGACAGGUGAUUCAGAUCUGCCAGCCCCAGCAGUCCUCUGCUGUGGUAUUUCAUUUACCGGCUGCACCGGUUCCUACUACACUCGCCGUGAAGGGAG